rnacentral:lncRNA from 1 species
CUGUCUCCUCAUGAGAGAACCUAUGCCAGAAUCACCAACUAAGCCUUUCCCAAAUUCCUGACCCACAGAAACUGUGAACUGGCCAUCUUGCCUGUUUUCAUAAAAGUCUGAAAUACGGAGGAGACCCUGAUUUAUAUUUUCCAUAGAAGAGAAGAGAGAUUGAGAUGACUCUCUUGCAGUGAGGUAUGGCGUGUCCUCUCCAUGACAAUGUGAGGGAAAGUGAUGUAUGCCACUUCCAGGUUCUAUGGAACCCUGGAAUGAAGAGGAUGCCAACCUUGAAAAGCUAUUCUAGUUCUUUCAAUGUGCCAUAAUGGUAUAGGAGCAAAUGUUUCUGCUGAGGACACAGCAACGAAGCACCAAUUUUCACUGAGGUUCCUCACCAAACACUGAAUCCGCAAGUGCCUUGAUAUUGAACUUUCCAG